rnacentral:rRNA from 1 species
GACGAACGCUGGCGGCGUGCUUAACACAUGCAAGUCGAACGGAAAGGCCCUGCUUGCAGGGUGCUCGAGUGGCGAACGGGUGAGUAACACGUGGGUGAUCUGCCCCUUACUUUGGGAUAAGCCUGGGAAACUGGGUCUAAUACUGGAUAGGACCAUGCUGUAGGUGGUGUGGUGGAAAGAUUAGUUUCGGUAAGGGAUGAGCUCGCGGCCUAUCAGCUUGUUGGUGGGGUAACGGCCUACCAAGGCGUCGACGGGUAGCCGGCCGGGGAGGGUGGACGGCCAGAGAGGGACGGAGAGAGGGGCAGGAGUGCUACGGGGGGCAGGGGGGGAGGAUAGUGAAGGAUGGGCGGAAGCAGGAGGCAGCAAGGCCGCGGGCGGGAUGAAGGGCGGCGGGGGGUAACGCGCUUGCGGCGGGGAAGAAGAUCGAGGGACGGGAAUGGGUAAAGAAGCAACGGCUAACUACGUG